rnacentral:tRNA from 1 species
GCCGAAGUGGUGGAAUUUGGUAGACACGCCAUCUUGAGGGGGUGGUGGGUUUAUCCCGUGCGGGUUCAAAUCCCGCCUUCGGCACCA